AGCGAACGUCACAAGCCAUCUGUUCCUCGUGGAAGUUGGUGGUGCGUCAGGUGCAUUCGUCAGAUUCGUGUAGUAGUUUAGCUUGGUUGCUCAGCUAAUCCCUUACCAGUGAAAUAUCUAUACAGUGUAACACAGUUUACUUCUAAAUGAGAACUAGUCGUUAAUUUUACUGUGUAUCUAAUAGAGUGAAAGAGAGGUUACCGAAUUCUUCCGCUAUGUUCUCCUUUGGCCGGACAGCUAUCAUCGCUUGCGGACGAGGUAGCGAACGUGUGACGGCAAACGGAGGCAAGCUGCUAGCCGCGAUGGAGUUCUCGUGGGAUCGUCUGGGCCAGAGGAGCUACCAUGAGCACACCGACGACAACAUCUGCCCCAGCAUGGUGCGAGGCAUCGACUACCUCAGGGAUCCUCGCCUCAAUAAGGGCAUGGCGUUCACGCUGGAGGAGCGUCAGGUGCUGGGUAUCCACGGCCUCAUUCCUCCGCGCUUCAAGACUCAGGAGGAGCAAGUCACGCUCUGCCAGAAGAACAUUGAGAGAUAUCAGGAGCCUCUUAAUAAGUACAUCUACCUAGCGGGUCUUCAGGACCGCAACGAGAAGCUCUUCUACCGCCUCCUGAGUGAGAACGUCGAGCAAUACAUGCCCAUCGUGUACACGCCCACCGUGGGCCUCGCGUGCCAAAAGUUCGGCCUGAUCUUCAGACGACCUCGCGGCCUCUUCAUCUCCAUCCACGACAAGGGGCACGUCUACGACGUCAUCAGAAACUGGCCAGAAAGCGACGUUCGAGCCAUCGUGGUGACUGAUGGUGAGCGCAUCCUCGGUCUGGGCGACCUCGGCGCGUACGGCAUGGGCAUCCCCGUGGGCAAGCUUGCCCUCUACACCGCCUUGGCGGGCAUCAAGCCCCACCAGUGUCUUCCCAUCACCCUCGACGUGGGCACCAACAGAAAGGAGUUGCUGGAGGACGAUUUCUACAUCGGUAACCGGCACGUGCGUGUGACAGGGCAGGAGUACGACGACUUCAUCGACGAGUUUAUGCAGGCGGUGGUGAGGCGGUAUGGGCAGAAUACUCUCAUUCAGUUCGAGGACUUCGGCAACCACAAUGCUUUCAGGUUCCUCGACAAGUACCGCGGUCAGUAUUGCACCUUCAAUGACGACAUUCAAGGCACUGCCUCCGUGGCUGUGGCAGGCCUGCUAGCGGCGCUCAAGGAGACCAAAACUAAACUCGCCGACCAUCGCUUCCUCUUCCAGGGAGCUGGCGAGGCAUCCUUGGGCAUAGCCAACCUGAUCGUGAUGGCUAUGGCUGAAGAGGGCAUUUCUGAGGCUGACGCUCGAUCCAAGAUCUUCCUGAAGGAUUCGAAGGGUCUGAUCGUGAAGGACCGGCCGUCGGGUGGCAUUGCAGGUCACAAAGCUGCAUUCGUCAAAGAACUGCCGCCCAUGGAGUCCCUGGAGGAGAUCGUCAAGGCUAUCAAGCCUACGACUCUCAUUGGAGCUGCAGCCAUCGGCGGGGUGUUCACUCCUGAGAUCCUCAAAGAUAUGGCCUCCUUCAAUGACCGCCCUAUCAUAUUUGCCCUCAGUAAUCCUACAAGCCAGGCUGAGUGCACGGCCGAGGAGGCCUACAAAUACACCGAUGGACGUGCAGUGUUCGCGUCCGGGUCUCCGUUUGACGCCGUGGAGCUCAACGGCAGAACCUUCUACCCUGGCCAGGGCAACAACGCUUACAUCUUCCCUGGCGUGUCUCUCGGCGUCAUCUGUACAGGCAUCCACCACAUCCAAGACGAAAUCUUCCUCAUGGCCGCCAAGGCGCUCGCUGACAUGGUGACGGAGAAGGAUCUAAAGGAAGGCCGCCUAUACCCUCCCCUGUCGGACAUCAGGAAAUGUUCUAUUCUGAUCGCCACGUACAUCGCAGAACAUGCCUACAAGACUGGCAUCGCCUCCACAUACCCCGAGCCCCGUCGCAAGUUAGAGUUCAUUGAAGCUCAGCUUUACGAUGCCAACUACCGCACCGCUUUGCCCUCAGUUUAUCCCUGGCCUAAAGCGUGAGCAGGAGUGGCCAGGGACGGACUUUUGGGCGCCACAUGGCGGCUACUCGCUGGACUUUCCCACCUUACUUGAUGGCCAAAAAUUUAGGGUUUAAACGUUUCACCUCCUGUGAAAUUGGCGCGGAAGCGAUAAAUUAUUAAAACGGCAGAAAUCGCUCUCAGCAUCUAACCUUAAACCUUAUUAAAAUCCGGAUUAAAUUGUUUCGAUUGAAGGGAAAGUUUAAAGGCUUUUUCUUUGUCUGAUCAUAUUGUUCUGUGUUAAAGGGCAUCUUUUUUCAAAAAUUUAAUGUACCGUAGUGACUUGUGUUGCUCACCGUUGCAAAAUUUUUUAAUGCAAUGGAGUUUCGCAUCCAGUGUGCAUUGCUCGACAUCGCAAAAAAAAAUUAUCGACUUCAGCUCUUGAAAUCAAAACCUUGAACUUGGAAAAUUGUUUUAAUAAACGAGUUUUAUCGCUGCUCCACGAAUGCAGAAGCAGAGCAUUUAUUUUCAAUUAGAAUUUUUGAGCUUGGUGCUAAAAGUUUUGGAAUAUGCCAGAAUAUUAAUGUCUCAUUGUAAUAGCGUGUGCAGACGUGAUAAAUUUCAAUGAAAACCAUCCAUUUAUUGUUUUAUUUUCUAUCAUAGUUCUUUGGCCACUAAUGUAACGUGGGAAAGCCCGUUCAAGUAGUAUUGUCUCUUCUAUACUUGGUGCCGUUUUUCAGUGCGGCAUCGCUUCCACGUACCCUGAACCCAAAGACAAGAAGGCUUUUAUUGAGCAUCAAAUCUACGACUUCGACUAUGACAAAGUUUCGGUGCUGCCCCGUACCUGGGACUGGCCCAAGGUGUCUCGGCCUUAGAUUCCACUUCAUGG
rnacentral:misc_RNA from 1 species